UGCCAGCCGCCGCGGUAACACGGGGGGCGCAAGCGUUAUUCGGAAUUAUUGGGCGUAAAGGGCGCGCAGGCGGUCUUGUCCGUCAGGUGUGAAAGCUCGGGGCUCAACCCCGGAAGUGCACUUGAAACAGCAAGACUUGAAUACGGUAGAGGAGAGAGGAAUGUGGCAUGUAGCGGUGAAAUGCAUAGAUAUGCCAUAGAACACCAAUUGCGAAGGCAGCUUACUGGACUUGUAUUGACGCUGAGGCACGAAAGCGUGGGGAGCGAACAGGAUUAGAUA
rnacentral:rRNA from 1 species